CAGGCUUAACACAUGCAAGUCGAGGGGCAUCAGGAAGAAAGCUUGCUUUCUUUGCUGGCGACCGGCGCACGGGUGAGUAACACGUAUCCAACCUGCCCUUUACUCGGGGAUAGCCUUUCGAAAGAAAGAUUAAUACCCGAUAGCAUAAUGAUUCCGCAUGGUUUCAUUAUUAAAGGAUUCCGGUAAAGGAUGGGGAUGCGUUCCAUUAGGUUGUUGGUGAGGUAACGGCUCACCAAGCCUUCGAUGGAUAGGGGUUCUGAGAGGAAGGUCCCCCACAUUGGAACUGAGACACGGUCCAAACUCCUACGGGAGGCAGCAGUGAGGAAUAUUGGUCAAUGGGCGCUAGCCUGAACCAGCCAAGUAGCGUGAAGGAUGAAGGCUCUAUGGGUCGUAAACUUCUUUUAUAUAAGAAUAAAGUGCAGUAUGUAUACUGUUUUGUAUGUAUUAUAUGAAUAAGGAUCGGCUAACUCCGUGCCAGCAGCCGCGGUAAUACGGAGGAUCCGAGCGUUAUCCGGAUUUAUUGGGUUUAAAGGGAGCGUAGGCGGACUGGUAAGUCAGUUGUGAAAGUUUGCGGCUCAACCGUAAAAUUGCAGUUGAUACUGUCAGUCUUGAGUACAGUAGAGGUGGGCGGAAUUCGUGGUGUAGCGGUGAAAUGCUUAGAUAUCACGAAGAACUCCGAUUGCGAAGGCAGCUCACUGGACUGCAACUGACACUGAUGCUCGAAAGUGUGGGUAUCAAACAGGAUUAGAUACCCUGGUAGUCCACACAGUAAACGAUGAAUACUCGCUGUUUGCGAUAUACAGUAAGCGGCCAAGCGAAAGCAUUAAGUAUUCCACCUGGGGAGUACGCCGGCAACGGUGAAACUCAAAGGAAUUGACGGGGGCCCGCACAAGCGGAGGAACAUGUGGUUUAAUUCGAUGAUACGCGAGGAACCUUACCCGGGCUUAAAUUGCAGUGGAAUGAUGUGGAAACAUGUCAGUGAGCAAUCACCGCUGUGAAGGUGCUGCAUGGUUGUCGUCAGCUCGUGCCGUGAGGUGUCGGCUUAAGUGCCAUAACGAGCGCAACCCUUAUCUUUAGUUACUAACAGGUCAUGCUGAGGACUCUAGAGAGACUGCCGUCGUAAGAUGUGAGGAAGGUGGGGAUGACGUCAAAUCAGCACGGCCCUUACGUCCGGGGCUACACACGUGUUACAAUGGGGGGUACAGAAGGCAGCUAGCGGGUGACCGUAUGCUAAUCCCAAAAGCCUCUCUCAGUUCGGAUCGAAGUCUGCAACCCGACUUCGUGAAGCUGGAUCCGCUAGUAAUCGCGCAUCAGCCACGGCGCGGUGAAUACGUUCCCGGGCCUUGUACACACCGCCCGUCAAGCCAUGGGAGCCGGGGGUACCUGAAGUACGUAACCGCAAGGAUCGUCCUAGGGUAAAACUGGUGACU
rnacentral:rRNA from 1 species